CUUUAGGACAGCCUGGCAAUCUAGCAAUUAAAACAUUUUGUAAUCAACAAUUACUUCACAGAUUCAAGUUUUGUUCCUACAAUCCACAAUAUUCUCACCUUGGCAUCUCUGCUUAAAGUUCCAGCCAUUUCACAAGAAGUUUAAGUUCCAUAUCAGACACAGUAGACCCAUAGUGGAUAUGUCAAGCAAAUUAGGUCUUCCACAGGUAUGUUCUCAGAACAUCUUCAAAGCCAGCCGCAUCUGGGGAUUAUUACAGUGGUUUCAGCAGUGUCAUCUGGGGGUUAUUACAGUGGUUUCAGCAGUGUCAUCAUGGGAUUUUUACAGUGGUUGCAGCAAUGUCAUCUGGGGGUUAUUACAGUGGUUUCAGCAGUGUCAUCGGGGGAUUGUUACAGUGGUUUCAGCAGUGUCAUCUGGGGGUUAUUACAGUGGUUUCAGCAGUGUCAUCUGGGGAUUAUUACAAUGGUUUCAGCAGUGUCAUCUGGGGAUUAUUACAAUGGUUUCAGCAGUGUCAUCUGGGGAUUAUUACAAUGGUUUCAGCAGUGUCAUCUGGGGAUUAUUACAGUGGUUUCAGCAGUGUCAUUUUGUGCACAAAAUUCAUCUUCAGGAAAAUCAUCAUUUCACUUAGGAUUCUCAUGGGUCUCCUAGGGGCUCACGUAUUGACCAGCUAUUUAAAUUAAUGAAUGUCUGUAGAUUUGAACCAGCCCUUGCUGAAAACAGGUCGUCUGUAGAUUAGAACCAGCCCGUGCUGUAAACAGGUCGUCUGUAGAUUAGAACCAGCCCUUGCUGUAAACAGGUCGUCUGUAGAUUAAAACCAGUCUUUGUUAUGGACACGUCUUGUGUGUGGAUUAGAACCAAUCUUUGAGCUAAAGUAAAUUUGGUACAGUACACAACUACACAAUUCAGAUUAUUGGAAUUGAUAAAGUUAAUGAUCAAUGAUCAUAGAACUGCAUCCAUAUCUCAGAUUAAAGGUUGGCAGAUUUUUUUUUUAGGAUUAUAGCUGUGUUGGUGUCAAUGUAUUCCAAUCAAAUCAGCAAUUGGAAUAUUUUUUUUGACAAGAAUACAAAAGAGUGGCACGCAUGGGCUGGCAAUACAAGUCACUGCCAACAAGAUAUAUUUAGUAGUAUUAUUAUUUAUUUUUUUAUCAAGGAUUGAUAUUUAGGGUUGCAUUGUGAGCCAUACUAAAGAGGACAUAACUUGACAGUAUACAAAAUAAUUAUGAUAACCCAACAUUUGAUUUAGUAAGAAAUAUAGAAAU
ensembl:lncRNA